ensembl:lncRNA
CCGCUUCUCCCUCAGGGUCGCAGGGGGGUGGGGUGCUGGAGCCUAUCGAGCGGAAGGCAGGAUACACCCUGGACAGGUCAUCAAGUCCAUCGCAGGGCAGACAGAAAAUGGAUGGAUGGAUGAAUGAUCCCCUGAUAAAUGUAGGAGGAGUCUUUACAUGCUUGAACAGUAGCACCAAGUCUCUCCUCAUUAUCUGAACACUGGAACCACCAUGAAGUGUCUGUGCUCUCUGACUGUCUUUGUCAUCAUGAUAGUGAACUGCGCUUCACAGUCAAUAGCACCACUGGAUAACAAAACACAGGUUCAUGCUCUUGAAGACGAGAGAGUUAUUCUCUCCUGCACGUAUAAUGGU